rnacentral:rRNA from 1 species
CUAAGAAUAUUCCGCAAUGGGCGAAAGCCUGACGGAGCGACGCCGCGUGGGUGAGGAAGGCCGAAAGGUUGUAAAGCCCUUUUGAACCUGAAGAAUAAGUACGGGAGGGAAUGCCCGUAUGGUGACGGUAGGGUUUGGAUAAGCAACGGCUAAUUACGUGCCAGCAGCCGCGGCAACACGUAAGUUGCGAGCGUUGUUCGGAAUUAUUGGGCGUAAAGGGCAUGUAGGCGGCAUGGCAAGCCUGACGUGAAAUCUCCGGGCUCAACCCGGAGGGUGCAUUGGGAACUGCCAUGCUGGAGUUGCUGAGGGGAAGCCGGAAUUCCAGGUGUAGGGGUGAAAUCUGUAGAUAUCUGGAAGAACACCAAUGGCGAAGGCAGGCUUCUGGCAGACGACUGACGCUGAGGUGCGAAGGUGCGGGGAGCGAACAGGAUUAGAUACCCUGGUAGUCCGCACAGUAAACGAUGUACACUAGGUGUCCGGCAGCAAUGCUGGGUGCCGAAGCGAACGUGGUAAGUGUACCGCCUGGGGAGUAUGCCCGCAAGGGUGAAACUCAAAGGAAUUGACGGGGGCCCGCACAAGCGGUGGAGCAUGUGGUUUAAUUCGAUGGUACGCGAGGAACCUUACCUGGGCUUGACAUAUAGGGUGAUGCGGCAGAGAUGCCGGAGCGCAGCAAUGCGACCCCAUACAGGUGCUGCAUGGCUGUCGUCAGCUCGUGCCGUGAGGUGUUGGGUUAAGUCCCGCAACGAGCGCAGCCCCUGCUGCCAGUUGCCAUCAAGGAGACUUGGGGACUCUGGCGGAACUGCCGGUGACAAACCGGAGGAAGGUGGGGAUGACGUCAAGUCAUCAUGGCCCUUAUGUCCAGGGCUACACACGUGCUACAAUGGUCGGGACAGAGCGAAGCGAAGCAGCGAUGCGGAGCAAAACGCAAAAAGCCGACCGUAGUUCGGAUCGGAGUCUGAAACCCGACUCCGUGAAGUUGGAAUCGCUAGUAAUCGCGCAUCAGCACGGCGCGGUGAAUGCGUUCCCGGGCCUUGUACACACCGCCCGUCACACCAUCCGAGUAGGGGGUGCCCGAAUCCGGCAGCCUAACCCGCAAGGGGGGGCGCUGUCGAAGGUAUGUUUUGUGAGGAGGGUG